rnacentral:rRNA from 1 species
AAAGAUUAAUACCUGAUGGUAUGAUGAGAUUGCAUGAUAGCAUCAUUAAAGAUUUAUCGGUGUACGAUGGGGAUGCGUUCCAUUAGGUAGUAGGCGGGGUAACGGCCCACCUAGCCAACGAUGGAUAGGGGUUCUGAGAGGAAGGUCCCCCACAUUGGAACUGAGACGCGGUCCAAACUCCUACGGGAGGCAGCAGUGAGGAAUAUUGGUCAAUGGACGAGAGUCUGAACCAGCCAAGUAGCGUGAAGGAUGAAGGUCCUACGGAUUGUAAACUUCUUUUAUAAGGGAAUAAACCCUCCCACGUGUGGGAGCUUGUAUGUACCUUAUGAAUAAGCAUCGGCUAACUCCGCGCCAGCAGCCGCGGUAAUACGGAGGAUGCGAGCGUUAUCCGGAUUUAUUGGGUUUAAAGGGAGCGCAGACGGGUCGUUAAGUCAGCUGUGAAAGUUUGGGGCUCAACCUUAAAAUUGCAGUUGAUACUGGCGUCCUUGAGUGCGGUUGAGGUGUGCGGAAUUCGUGGGUGUAGCGGGGAAAAUGCUUAGAUAUCACGAAGAACUCCGAUUGCGAAGGCAGCACACUAAUCCGUAACUGACGUUCAUGCUCGAAAGUGUGGGUAUCAAACAGGAU